AGAGUUUGAUCCUGGCUCAGGAUGAACGCUGGCGGCGUGCUUAACACAUGCAAGUCGAGCGAAGCGGCUGAAUUGAUUCUUCGGAUGAUUUUCAGUUGACUGAGCGGCGGACGGGUGAGUAACGCGUGGGUGACCUGCCCCAUACCGGGGGAUAACAGCUGGAAACGGCUGCUAAUACCGCAUAAGCGCACAGAGCUGCAUGGCUCGGUGUGAAAAACUCCGGUGGUAUGGGAUGGGCCCGCGUCUGAUUAGGCAGUUGGCGGGGUAACGGCCCACCAAACCGACGAUCAGUAGCCGGCCUGAGAGGGCGACCGGCCACAUUGGGACUGAGACACGGCCCAAACUCCUACGGGAGGCAGCAGUGGGGAAUAUUGCACAAUGGGGGAAACCCUGAUGCAGCGACGCCGCGUGAGCGAAGAAGUAUUUCGGUAUGUAAAGCUCUAUCAGCAGGGAAGAUAAUGACGGUACUCAACAAGGAAGUGACGGCUAACUACGUGCCAGCAGCCGCGGUAAAACGUAGGUCACAAGCGUUGUCCGGAAUUACUGGGUGUAAAGGGAGCGCAGGCGGGAAGACAAGUUGGAAGUGAAAUCCAUGGGCUCAACCCAUGAACUGCUUUCAAAACUGUUUUUCUUGAGUAGUGCAGAGGUAGGCGGAAUUCCCGGUGUAGCGGUGGAAUGCGUAGAUAUCGGGAGGAACACCAGUGGCGAAGGCGGCCUACUGGGCACCAACUGACGCUGAGGCUCGAAAGUGUGGGUAGCAAACAGGAUUAGAUACCCUGGUAGUCCACACUGUAAACGAUGAUUACUAGGUGUUGGAGGAUUGACCCCUUCAGUGCCGCAGUUAACACAAUAAGUAAUCCACCUGGGGAGUACGACCGCAAGGUUGAAACUCAAAGGAAUUGACGGGGGCCCGCACAAGCAGUGGAGUAUGUGGUUUAAUUCGACGCAACGCGAAGAACCUUACCAAGUCUUGACAUCCUGCGACGCACAUAGAAAUAUGUGUUUCCUUCGGGACGCAGAGACAGGUGGUGCAUGGUUGUCGUCAGCUCGUGUCGUGAGAUGUUGGGUUAAGUCCCGCAACGAGCGCAACCCUUAUGGUCAGUUACUACGCAAGAGGACUCUGGCCAGACUGCCGUUGACAAAACGGAGGAAGGUGGGGAUGACGUCAAAUCAUCAUGCCCUUUAUGACUUGGGCUACACACGUACUACAAUGGCGUUAAACAAAGAGAAGCAAGACCGCGAGGUGGAGCAAAACUCAGAAACAACGUCCCAGUUCGGACUGCAGGCUGCAACUCGCCUGCACGAAGUCGGAAUUGCUAGUAAUCGCAGAUCAGCAUGCUGCGGUGAAUACGUUCCCGGGCCUUGUACACACCGCCCGUCACACCAUGAGAGCCGGGGGGACCCGAAGUCGGUAGUCUAACCGCAAGGAGGACGCCGCCGAAGGUAAAACUGGUGAUUGGGGUGAAGUCGUAACAAGGUA
rnacentral:rRNA from 1 species